GGAGAAGAAAGCAGGCAGAGUGAACCUGGGAAGGAAGUGUACAGGUCAUGGUGCUGCCACAGAAGAUUGGAGAAGUACUGAAGGAAUCUUGAUGUAGCUCUCAGCCCCUGCUCUAGUAUCAUGACUGCCUCCAUUCUCCUACCCUGCCCUCACCAUGAUGAUAAUGGAGUAACCCUCUGAAACUCUAGAGGUCAUGAUUGUCAACAGGUUGAUGAAUAUUCUUCUUCGCUCCUCAUGAUGUAAAAAAAUCAUAUCCUGAAGUCAAGGUGUUCAAGUGCCUUCUGUUGGAACUACUAUGUGGGAGCUUCUUAGAUUAUGCCCUUUCCUUUCAUGCACAAUGCUGUAGAUCUGGAUUACUGUACGCUAGUAAAAUGUAAUGUUAAGGGUAAUGAAAACCGUUUGUUUAUUGGGUGUUUAUCAUUGAUUCUAGAUAUUAUGUAUACAGUAUAG